rnacentral:lncRNA from 1 species
GAUGAACAGCAGUAUGGAAGUGUAAGCCCAAUAAACCCUUUCCUCCCCAACUUGCUUCUUGGUCAUGAUGUUUGUGCAGGAAUAGAAACCCUGACUAAGACAAAUUGGUACCAGCAGAGUGGGGUAUUCCUGUGACAACCUGACCAUGUUUUGGGGAGGUCUGUGGAAGGACUUUGGAACUUUGGUCUUGAAGAUCCAUUUGUUGUUAAGAGCUCUGUGGGAUGUUGUGUAGGAGCUUGGAAGAUAAUGUUGAGAACAGUGCAGAAGAUGGAGGCCUGGCUUGUGAAAUUUCAGAGGGAAAAUUAAAGACUCUUUUCAGGGCCAUUGCUGUUUUGAUUGUGAAGAUUCUGUAGUUCUGGUUAGCUGGGGCUGAAGAAUCAGCUGUGAUUAACAAGAUACCAGAACUACUGAAGCAAAAGCUUUGCAUUACUGGGACUAUUGAUGCUGGUUAGCUGGAGCUAAGAAAUUAGCGGUGAUUAAGAAGAGACCAGCAUCAUUGAGGUGACAUCUUCUGGGAAGUGUUUUCUGAGAGCACAGUGGCUGUGUUCCAGAUAUAGCCAAAGUUGUACCUUGUGCUGUGGCUGGACUUGGUAAUGUGUAAGAGUCACCCAGGUGGUACUGGUUUUGAAGGCAUGAAGGAGUUGAGCAGAACAGCUGAGGCUUGGCACUGUGAGAGGCCAUGGAAGGCCAUUGGUGAAAGUCCAGCCUCAUUUGCAAUUGAUGGCCCAGGACUGAAGGGGUCAUGCAGUGUUUUGGAGAUGCCAGUACCAUGAGAUGACCACCAAGAACAGCAGCAGCAGUGGAGUACAGGCAUCUGGAGCCUAGAGGAUGACGCGUGUGCUACAAAGGGCCUGGCUGGAGAAGUGACCCAAGCCCUUGGAGGAGCCCAGAAGAUUGUGAGUUGGAUCCCAGACAUUGGACAGUUGGAGAUUGACUUUUGCUUUUGAUUGUGACUGUGCCCUGAUAUUUUCCCUCUUGAAGGAAGAAACUG